AGCAAUACCGCACUGAUAUGGGUAUGGAUCCGAAGCCUCUAGAAGGAUAAUAUAGGCACUCCAUACCCUACUACUCCGACUCAAUACGUCCCCGUCGUACAGAAUGGUAACAUAGCUCUCCAAAUAUCUGAGCUUGGGUAUACGGGGAACCCCAACCCCUUGGGGAGAUGGGGUACAUGGCUAAAUUGAGCGAG
rnacentral:ribozyme from 1 species